UCUCUUCACUAUAGCAACCAAGGAGUUUCCUAGAUGGGGUGGCCAAGGAUUCAGCUUUCUUAAAAAAAAUGAUGGUGGUGCCAUGCCUCCAUCCACUUCCGUUCAUUUGGUGAGCAACUUCCUUGCAUGCCUUAGGAAAGCCGUGCAAACUACACCUGAAAAACAGAAGAAGGAAAGAAAAGAAAGCUACAUUUAUAGGCCAAAUGAGUGGACACAAGCAGACAUUUUACAAAAUGGUGGAAAGGGCAAAAGGUAGGGAUGCGUGAAUCUGUCAAUCUCACUUCCUUUCCGAUUCUCCUGUUUCUAAUCUUAAAUUCAGUUUGCCACAUUCAACAACUAUUUAUUUAUUUUUAUUUUUAAGGCCCUCUUGAACUCUCUCACAUUUUAACACAAAUUUCGCCUGAUUUGCACCUUUGCAUCAGGAGACCUGAAAAAAAGAGUCAAAACAAAGGUGUGGGAUAUUACCAAAGCCACUUUAUUCCCCUGCAACAUUAAGAGUUUAUGAACUGAAUCGGGGGGGGGGGGGGAGAUAUCUGCAGGAAAUAUUCAAAACCUUCUAUCAGCCUCCCAAGCCUGCCAUGAACCAGCUAACCUGCCCUCUUUCCCCCUGCCACACCCAUUAGCACAGUGGCUAAUCAUACGUUUGGAGAGGAUUUUUUUUUUUUUGCUCACAAAACAUACCAGGCUGUUAAUCAAAGGCAUCCUAGAGCCAAGGGCAGGGAAGCUAUGGUCCUCCAGAUGCUGUUGAACUCCAACUCCCAUCAGGCCCAGCACACAUGGCCACUGCUCAGGGAUGAAGGGAGCUGUGGUUCAGCAACAUCUGGAGGGUCAAAGGUUCUCCGCUUUUGCUAGAGAGGGUUCAUACUCAUAGAAAAGCAAGAUAAUCAAUACUGAAUAUGAAGACGGCACAAAAUUCGCAUGUGGCACAGGGCAGUCAUUCCCAAAACUGUGAGAACAAUGAGAAACAAAUUAAUUGUGGGGUUAUUGUGCUUAUUAUUUACUGCAUCUAUACCUGACCUUUCCUGAAAGGGUAGGGGUGUCCCGUCCCGUCCCCCCAUCCCCCGCAACUACCACGUUUAUCCUCAGAACCAUCUGAGGUAGGUCAGGCUGAUGAAAAUGUGAAUGGAGCACAGCAUUAUGGAGUGGAUCAAAAGAGACAUGGGAUAAAAAUACGUGAGAACAAAUAACUAUCAUUUUUUCCAUCAGCACCCAGAUGUGAUAGUGCUUGGAAUGUCAAGAGCAGGGAGAACUGGGUUCAAAUCUCCACUCAGCCAUGACGCAAUCUCAGGACAGUCCCUGCUUCUCCACUUAACCUACCUUACAAGUUUGUCAAAACAGAAUCACACACACACCACCCUGAGGUUCUUGCAGGAAGAGCAAGACACAUGAGAUUAGUAUUAAUGUAAUUUUUUAUUUUAAAAAAAUCCUUUCAUAAUAAUAAUAAUAUCAGGGACAGCUGGGCCCCAGAGAUUGGCAAGAUAAGAGUAUUUUUCAUUGAACCAGGGCACCUCUUAUCAUGACCGAUCUUACCUUGCAUGGAGAAGACAAGGUAACCAACAAGAACUUUCGAUUUGAUAGAUUGUAUUUCUAUGCCACUCUGUAUCCAAGGGAAUCCCAAAGCAGUUUACAAACAACAGCAGCAACAGAAUACGAUAGUUACAGCACAAAUGGCUGCUCUCAGAGUUUGGAGCUCCCUUCUUAGAGAAGCUAGACUGACGCCCACCUUGUUCUCCUGCUGCCAGCAGGUGAAGAACUUUUUAUUCUGACAGGCCUUUGGGAGCUAACUGCUUUUUAAAGGAAAUCGCUUUAAUAAUACUGUCUGUUUUUCUUGUUUUCAUCAUCUGUAUUUUAGUAGAUUUGUGGGGGGAGUUGUUUUUAAUUCUAUCUGAGAUUAAUGAUUUUUUUCUCUGUGUUUUUAGCUUUUUACCUAUGUUGUCUUAAUUUCCAUGAGCUGCCUCGAGUCCCAGUCAGGUGAAAAGGUGGGAUAUAAAUGAAUAUAAUUAAUAAAUAACACCAUUAGCAAAUCAUCAGUAGAACAAUUAUAAAAGAAUUACAUCCCAUAAAAUAAUGCUAACAGAACAGCAGCUGAAAAGGAAGCUCCCUAUUGUUGCAUUUACCCCCUUCACACUCACACACACGCCAACAUAAACACUUUCCGUAAUCCUUCACUCUUCUCAGUUCAAUUUUUUUCAAAUUCUCCUAGGCGGCGCUAUGGGUGUGCAAAAUUCAUGCAGAGUUGCAAAGGUAAAGGAGACACCAAUGGGCAUUUCCCAUGAAAUGCCAGCUUCUCAGAAUCUAACCUGUACAAGGGAGCUUCUGGGUUGCAGCCAACUAAGUUUUUGCAGAGUAGGCCAAUCAGAAUUUACAGGCCUACAUCACCCAUUUCAGUGGGUCUACUUGGAGGGUAACAAGCACCGGAGACAGCCCUUAGCAAACAAGGGCGUCAAUUGAAACGAAGGGAGGCAGUCUUGGGCAAGGACUUUCUGCCUGUCGGAACAAACUGGUGGAACCGUUCCAACCUCCAGGACAAAGCUUAAGCACUUAUCAAAGGCCAACGAAAACACUCCCAAGCGUAGAGAAAGCUGCAGAGGACGAAAAAAGUGUUCUGAGCUGUUACACCUGCUUCUCAGGGUAACAUGCCUGAUACACCAAUCACUCAGCAACCGGCAUAUUGAUUUAAUUCAAAGCAGGACAGCCAGUUUUUGCUUUUCACCCAGCUUAAAAAAAAUUAUGUGCUGCUUUCCAAGCAAGGGAAAAACCUCUCUCUUCUCUUGUCCAACCUGCUUCUAAGUAAAUGUCUUAACAUUAUUCUCUUUCUUCCUUUUGUAAUGAAAGAAAGAAAGAACAAAUAAUUAUGAGACUCCAAAAUAAGUUGUAUAUAAUUCACAUAAGGACUGCCAAAAAGAAGUGGGGGAAAUUCAGACAGAAGUGGGAAUAGGAGACAGAAAAAUAUAAAGAGGCAAAUACUUAAGGUACGGUAAAUAGCCAGUGUGGUACCCUCCAGAUGUUGUUGGACUACAAGUCCCAUCAAAACCCAAAGAGACAAAAACAAUCCAUUUUGUCAGGACACCCUGUACUGUAAUUCAGUUUGUUUUGGGAUUUUACUGAUUUUGUUAGGGGAUUAAAAAAACACACACAGAGAAAAUAGUAAUAGUAAUAAUAAUAAUAAUAAUAAUUUUUAUUUAUACCCCGCCCUCCCCAGCCAAGGCCGGGCUCAGGGCGGCUAACAAGCAAUAAUAAAAACAAGUUGAAUGAUUAAAACUUAAAAACAAAAUUAAAAUACAAAAGGAUUAUAUCCUUCCCUCUAGUUCCAACAUUUGGGCAAUGAGUGCUGUCACUCACAUAGCAAAACAGCACUACUCAUGUACAACAGAGAGGCAGGCUUCAGAGAAGUUUGCAAAAGUUUUUUUAAAAAAUGUGGUGGGGGGACAGCCCAAUGAGGGCUGAGCAUGCUCAGUGCCCAUGGCAUGCUGACUGUGUUUGCGGAAAGAUGGAAACAUAGAAAGCUGCCUGUACUGAGUAGGACCUUCAUUCCAUGCAACUCACUAUUGUCUGCCCUGACUCUCCAAGUUUCAGGAAGUGCCAGGAAUUGAACCUGGGAUGUUCUGCAUGCAAAGCAGACUCUCUUCCACUGAGCUAUAGCCCUUCCACCUCUUUCAAACAUAGAAAAUGGGAAAUUAAACAGUGUGGCUAGACUCCACACUACAGCCUUUUGUCGCAGCUCCCACUUGUUUUGAAACAGCCACCAGGUAAGCUUCCAAAAAGGGUGGUAUAACUCAAAUGCUAUUUCAAGAGAAGUGUCCCAUGCACAAGAAACUGGCGUAAAGCAAACUGGUUUAAGUUCAGCUGGUGUACUGUUACACCAGCUCCAACCUUUAUUCAGCAGCAGGGACGCUGCCUUUAAAAUGGUGGCCUAUGCCUGGUUGCCAGGUCACAUGACCAAGUGAAGGAUCUUGCUUAAGCCCUACCCACCACCCACCCUGGAACUCACUGGUACCAUACCUCCAGAACACCCCUUUUACUCUGGCCUCGGCUCAGCUAGCUUUGGCUCAGUCAGCUGAGCCAUGAUGAGCAAGUUAUGUCGGUGUAUCUUUAGCUGAGCCAGGGCUGGGGACUUAAUGCCACCUGAGCCUGGAAUCAGGUGUCUGAAUCAGAGAUCCACUCCAUCCUGACCUGCUCAUGUCUUUGCCAGGCUUAGGCCAGCUCAGCCAGCAGCGAUUCCAUUCCUGAAUGGAGUUUGCAUCUGAUGUACUUUACACUGGCUUAACCUAGGCCAACUAGGUGCAAAACGAUGACUCAGCCAGGCAGAUGCAGUCUGAGAGUUACCGUACUGGGUACCUCUGAGCACAUAUUGACCCCAAGAAGCUGAGACUGGUACCUUUGCUAAUUACUACAAUACUCAAACUAAAACACAGGCAUCUCUGAAUCUUGCAAUGGAGUUCUCCAGUCAAGUAAUGUGUGCAAAAAUGCAUAUAUUGAGGUAAAAUAUGCAUUAAAUGUAUAUAUGUAUGAGUCAAAACAACACGCAAAAUUGCAUUAUGUUAGGAGAAACUGCUUUACAAAGAUAUGGAUAUUAGGGGGUGAAAUCACAAACAUAAAUGUGUAUAUUGGAAUAAAUUUGCACCAAAAAGGCUGGUAAAUUUUCAUGAGGACAUUUUUAAUUAAUAGCCACAAACUGUUGUAGGAAUAUGGAUAACUAAAUUUAUGAUUGGUCAAAUGAGAAACUGACAGAAACUGAAACUAUCCGAGAUUUGCCCAUACCUACCCUCAGUAUCAGUUCAAUGGAAUAUGUAGCUACUUUGUCAUUUGGUCAUCCUGGCCGCCAUUUUGUUUCCAGGCUCAUUUCAACGUGGUGCUGAUAAGCCGCUGUCCUCCAGAUAUCUUCAGCUCUGAUUCACAUCUUCCCUGACCUACUGGCUGUGGUUGAUGGAAGCUGGAGUCUAAGAAUAUCUAGACAGCGUGAGAUUGGGGAAGGCUAUCCUUAAACAGUUUGGAAUUCCCAGAAGAGCCUGCUUGUCCUUACAGAUCAGCUGAAGCAGCUCUUUUGAGGAUCCCACCUUCCUCAGAAAUACAGCUGAUGGAACAAGAGAGAAAGCCUUCUCACCAGUUACACCCAAGGAAAUCUGUCUGGAACUCUCUCAAAUGGCUUUGUUCUUUGCUACUGA